AGGACGCCGAGCUUGAGUCUCUGUGCCUCCCUCCAGGCAGCCGGCUAACCAGAUCCCUCGCUUUACAUCCAACUGGGAGGCGGGAUCUGCAAGUGAGCUGAGGGCACCUGGGGACAGGGAGGACCUCUCAGACCCUUUCAGUUGGCAUGUGACUAUGAGUCUGCCCAAGAGGACUGUCUCCCCCCAUCAUGGAAACCUUCAUUUUCUCAGAGCAUUUCAAGAGCUGCUGUUUCAAGGAAGAUACUCUGAGAAACCUAGAGCAAUGUUGGGGGUAGGGCUGGGGUUCUGUGCCCUGGGGAACAUUUGACAAUGACUGGAAAUGGUUGUCACAGCUGGGGGUCAGGUGGCUAUUACUGGCAUCUAGUGAGUCAAGGCCAGGGCUGCUGCUAAAUGCCCUAUAAUACACAGGGCAGCCCUGGACAAGGAGUUAUCCAGCCCACUGUUGCCAGCAGCCCAGCUGAGAAGUCCUGGCCUUGAGCUCCACAGCCCAUCCCCCACUCUAUGGCCUCAUCAAUGCUAGGUGAUGAGAGAGCAAGAAAGACAGGAGAAAGAGGAGGGAAACAAAGAAGGAAAAAGGGAGGAAACAGAGGAGAAAAACAGAUGAUAAAGGAGGCUGAG